rnacentral:lncRNA from 1 species
GUCGCCAAGCUCUCGACAAAGCUAAGUAUAUCAGACACACCUGAUUACAGCUAUGAAACAUAAUUUUCAAGGUUAAACAUUACGUGUCCAUUGGAAUGAAAUUGGUCGUUGAAGAGAGUGCACCACGGUCGCGAUAAACGGUGCAAUUAAUGUUUCUCGUUAGAGGACACUUUUCCAGCAAGGAUCCGGAAAUAUGCUUGCAUGUGGACGCUUGUAUACAACACGUAUAAGUUACGUACUAAUAUAGACUGCUAGCACAUGGCGGUAUAGGUAGAAAAGCGGUGGCGAAGUAAAAUAAUCAAUGAAGAGGCGAACGGGAUCAGGAGGGAGAAAGCGAAAGAGCUUUAUACGUUCGCGCCCACGCGGACCUACGAGCUCGUUAUCCCAUGUUGUUUUUUAUUCUUCCUGUCGUAUACAUUACCAAGACCUUGCUAAGAAUUGUGCCGAAUUUGCUGGUAUUUUUUACAGAAAAAGGUAAAAUACCGCAAUGAAAUUGGGUAGAAACUGACACGACGUCGCAUGAUUCUCUUUCUCUUUCAAUGAAGACCUCGCAUGCUUCUCAAUGAACCGACCUUUAAUGCACGCGCACGGAAUACAAGACAGUAGUUCAUUGAUUUUAGAGAGGUGUAAGGACGCCGGUCAGAGAAGUUUAACGUUCGCACCCAGCCACAAGAACGUGAUUCCGCUCGUUCUGGUCUGACGAACGGAUAGCUUGCAAGUCUGCGCUUUUUCCACGAAUUCUGUGCGCCCCGUCGUGCAACCUACACGACCAGUUAAUUACUUUCAUCGACGGAAGUCGGCAUUUACGACGGCUGCUCGUCGCCAAUUUAUACUAAUUCGGUGAACGAACGAGCCGAACCAGCGUGAUAAGUUCGAAAACUUGGAUGAAAGGGAAAAAGAAAUCUUUAAUUCUUUAAUGAAGCUCAAAGGAUUAAAAUGAAAUGUUUUGAACACGGUCUUUAAAAGAUAGUACAUUUCCAUUAUCGAAAAAAAUGCUCAAGCAUGAUGCUCGUAACGAGGUAAAAAUUGCAACGUAACGCGUAUCUGGCUUUUGAAGAUAAACGAUUGCUGUCUGUUCGAGGUUUACGAUCUCCAGAACCGAUUGUAAAAGUUGAAUGCCUGCAUUUCAUAUCGCUCUUGAUAUAUCUUUGUCCAGAUAUAAUAAAAGAAAAAUAAAUUAUUGCGAUAGUUCUUCAAGGUGAAUGAGAAAUCAUCGAUUUACCGUGUUUGAGACAGAUUCUUAUAGAUCAAAAAAUACAACAGUUAUUGGCUAAAGUUAGUCGGUUCCUUUUAAUUAGCGAACGUAGACGGUCUAUUUUCAUUGGCAAUUGCAGCUAAAAUAUUCAUUUCACUAUUGACUAUAAUAGUACAUCGAAGUGUUUCCAUUAUUAAUACUAAAUUGUGAAGCUGCUUUUAGACGGACGAAAAUUACUUCUGAAACGUACACCAUUGAUUUUCUAAGAUUCGGUAAAUUAUUCACUUUCUGUUGUAGUAGUGAAUACUUGGAGCGAAAGAGUAAUAAUAGCGAUUAUAAUUUUUACAAAUUUUACAAACUCAAUGAUAAAGUUGUUCUUAUCAACUAAGGAUCAAAGUCGAGGACAUACUUCUUUAUCGACAAGUUUACAAUCGUAGGUGGAGCUGUUGAUCAAGUUAUCAUUCGUUACCGAUUGAGUUGACGCUGAUUUUUAAUGUCGGUAUGAAAUUUGAAAAAAGAUUUAAAAAUGAAGCUUCUA